CCUACGGGAGGCAGCAGUGAGGAAUAUUGGUCAAUGGGCGCGAGCCUGAACCAGCCAAGUAGCGUGAAGGAUGACUGCCCUACGGGUUGUAAACUUCUUUUAUAAAGGAAUAAAGUGAGGCACGCGUGCCUUUUCGUAUGUACUUUAUGAAUAAGGAUCGGCUAACUCCGUGCCAGCAGCCGCGGUAAUACGGAGGAUCCGAGCGUUAUCCGGAUUUAUUGGGUUUAAAGGGUGCGUAGGCGGCCUUUUAAGUCAGCGGUGAAAGUCUGUGGCUCAACCAUAGAAUUGCCGUUGAAACUGGGGGGCUUGAGUGUGUUUGAGGCAGGCGGAAUGCGUGGUGUAGCGGUGAAAUGCUUAGAUAUCGCGCAGAACCCCGAUUGCGAAGGCAGCCUGCCGGGCCAUGACUGACGCUGAUGCACGAAAGCGUGGGGAUCAAACAGGAUUAGAUACCCGAGUAGUC
rnacentral:rRNA from 1 species